GACGAACGCUGGCGGCGUGCUUAACACAUGCAAGUCGAGCGGAAAGGCCCUUCGGGGUACUCGAGCGGCGAACGCGUGAGUGAGACGUGAGUAACCGGCCCUAGACUUUGGGAUAACCCUCGGAAACGGGGGCUAAUACCGGAAACUCCUUCUAAAUCGCAUGACAUGGUGGGGAUAGUUUUUCGGCCGGGGAUGGACUCGCGGCCUAUCAGCUUGUUGGUGGGGUAAUGGCCUUCCAAGGCGAGGACGGGUAGCCGGCCUGAGAGGGCGACCGGCCACACUGGGGCUGAGACACGGCCCAGACUCCUACGGGAGGCAGCAGUGGGGAAUAUUGCACAAUGGGCGGAAGCCUGAUGCAGCGACGCCGCGUGAGGGAUGACGGCCUUCGGGUUGUAAACCUCUUUCGGCAGGGACGAAGCGUAAGUGACGGUACCUGCAGAAGAAGCGCCGGCCAACUACGUG
rnacentral:rRNA from 1 species